AGAACGAACGCUGGCGGCAUGCCUAAUACAUGCAAGUCGAACGAACUCUUCGGAGUUAGUGGCGCACGGGUGCGUAACGCGUGGGAAUCUGCCCUUGGGUUCGGAAUAACAGUUGGAAACGACUGCUAAUACCGGAUGAUGACGAAAGUCCAAAGAUUUAUCGCCCAGGGAUGAGCCCGCGUAGGAUUAGCUAGUUGGUGAGGUAAAGGCUCACCAAGGCGACGAUCCUUAGCUGGUCUGAGAGGAUGAUCAGCCGCACUGGGACUGAGACACGGCCCAGACUCCUACGGGAGGCAGCAGUAGGGAAUAUGGACAAGUGGGACGAAAGCCUGAUCCAGACAAUGCCGCGUGAGUGAGUGAAGGUCCGUUAGGUUAGUAAAGCUUCGUUUACCCGAG
rnacentral:rRNA from 1 species